rfam:TPA: Bos taurus chromosome 1, whole genome shotgun sequence.
UCCUUAGUAGUCCAGUGGCUAAGACUCUGCAUUCCCAAUGCAGGGAACCUGGGUUCGAUCCCUGGUCAGGGAA